rnacentral:rRNA from 1 species
GACGAACGCUGGCGGCGUGCUUAACACAUGCAAGUCGAACGGAAAGGCCCUGCUUUCGUGGGGUGCUCGAGUGGCGAACGGGUGAGUAACACGUGAGUAACCUGCCCUUGACUUUGGGAUAACUUCAGGAAACUGGGGCUAAUACCGGAUAGGAGCUCCUGCUGCAUGGUGGGGGUUGGAACGUUUCGGCGGUUGGGGAUGGACUGGCGGCUUAUCAGCUUGUUGGUGGGGUAGUGGCUUACCCAGGCUUUGACGGGUAGCCGGCCUGAGAGGGUGACCGGCCACAUUGGGACUGAGAUACGGACCAGACUCCUACAGGAGGCAGCAGUGGGAAAUAUUGCACAGUGGGCGGAAGCCGGAGGCGGCAGCGCCGCGUGCGGGAUGACGGCCUUCGGGUUGUAAACCGCUUUCGCCUGAGACGAAGCGUGAGUGACGGUAAUGGGUGAAGAAGCACCGGCUAACUACGUG